rnacentral:lncRNA from 1 species
CUAAUGCACUUUUGGCUCUAUAUUGAUACAAUCUUCUCGAUGUAAUUUCCAGAUUCCCUUGAACUCCGGUGUGGAAAGCUGGAAAGUUUGUCAAUGGAACCCCUUGAAAAUCUUAGGAAUCCUUUAGUUACAGGGAGACUUACAAGGUACUCGUGUGGAUUGCUAGAGACAUCAAGAAAGUGUGUUCUUGUGCCCGG